AAUGAACGCUGGCGGCGUGCCUAACACAUGCAAGUCGAACGGCAACACAGUGAGCUUUUGCUCUUACCGUUUGCGGGUGGCGGGCGGGUGACGAGUGCAUCCGAAUCUUCUUUUUCGUGGAUGAUAACGUAGCGACGCUUACGCUACUACAUCAUAUGCUCUACCGGUUAGUUCAGUGGAUCUUCUCGCCUUUCGUGUUUGUAUUAGCCGCUGUCGCGCUGGCUUGUUGGGUGGGUAAUGGCCCACCAUGGCGACGAUACGUAGCUUGUCGGAGAGGAGGGUCGGCCACACUGGAACUGAGACACGGUCCAGACGCCUAAGGGAGGCAGCAGUGGGGAAUAUUGGGCAAUGGGCGAAAGCCUGACACAGCAAGACCGCGUGGGUGAAGAAGGCGUUCGGGUUGUAAAGCCCUUUUGUUGGGAAAGAAAAGCUGUAGGUUAAGACACAGAGGUAGUGACGGUACCCAAUGAAUAAGCACCGGCUAACUACGUG
rnacentral:rRNA from 1 species